rnacentral:rRNA from 1 species
UACGGAGGGAGCUAGCGUUGUUCGGAAUUACUGGGCGUAAAGCGCACGUAGGCGGCUUUUUAAGUCAGGGGUGAAAUCCCGGGGCUCAACCCCGGAACUGCCCUUGAAACUGGAGAGCUAGAAUCUUGGAGAGGCGAGUGGAAUUCCGAGUGUAGAGGUGAAAUUCGUAGAUAUUCGGAAGAACACCAGUGGCGAGGGCGACUCGCUGGACAAGUAUUGACGCUGAGGUGCGAAAGCGUGGGGAGCAAACAGG